AGCAGCCGCGGUAAUUCCAGCUCCAAUAGCGUAUAUUAAAGUUGUUGCAGUUAAAAAGCUCGUAGUUGAAUUUCGGGAUCAAUAUGUCGGUCGUGCCUUCGGUACGUACUGGUAUCAUUGGUCUCUCCUUUCUGACGAACCAUGAUGUCAUUAAUUUGGUGUUAUGGGGAGUUAGGACUGUUACUUUGAAAAAAUUAGAGUGUUUAAAGCAAGCUAACGCUUGAAUACAUUAGCAUGGAAUAAUGAAAUAGGACGUUCGAUCCUAUUUUGUUGGUUUCUAGGAUUGACGUAAUGAUUAAUAGGGAUAGUUGGGGGGCAUUAGUAUUCAAUUGUCAGAGGUGAAAUUCUUGGAUUUAUUGAAGACUAACUACUGCGAAAGCAUUUGCCAAGGAUGUUUUCAUUAAUCAAGAACGAAAGUUAGGGGAUCGAAGACGAUCAGAUACCGUCGUAGUCUUAACCAUAAACUAUGCCGACUAGGGAUCGGAUGAUGUUAAUUUUUUAAUGACUCAUUCGGCGCCUU
rnacentral:misc_RNA from 2 species